rnacentral:rRNA from 1 species
UACGUAGGGUGCGAGCGUUAAUCGGAAUUACUGGGCGUAAAGCGUGCGCAGGCGGUUUUGUAAGCCAGGUGUGAAAUCCCCGGGCUCAACCUGGGAAUGGCAUUUGGGACUGCAAGGCUGGAGUGCGGCAGAGGAGACUGGAAUUCCUGGUGUAGCAGUGAAAUGCGUAGAUAUCAGGAGGAACACCGAUGGCGAAGGCAGGUCUCUGGGCCAUUACUGACACUGAGAAGCGAAAGCAUGGGGAGCGAACAGG